rnacentral:rRNA from 1 species
UACAGAGGUCUCAAGCGUUGUUCGGAUUCAUUGGGCGUAAAGGGCGCGUAGGCGGCAAGGCAAGUCGGGUGUGAAAGCUUGGGGCUUAACCCCGAAAGGGCACUCGAACUGCGUUGCUAGAGGGCCGGAGAGGAGAUCGGAAUUCACGGUGUAGCAGUGAAAUGCGUAGAGCUCGUGAGGAAGACCGGUGGCGAAGGCGGAUCUCUGGACGGCCCCCUGACGCUGAGGCGCGAAGGCUAGGGGGAGCAAACGGG